rnacentral:rRNA from 1 species
CCUACGGGAGGCAGCAGUGAGGAAUAUUGGACAAUGGGCGCAAGCCUGAUCCAGCCGUGCCGCGUGCAGGAUGACGGUCCUAUGGAUUGUAAACUGCUUUUAUACAGGAAGAAACACUCCGACGUGUCGGAGCUUGACGGUACUGUAAGAAUAAGGAUCGGCUAACUCCGUGCCAGCAGCCGCGGUAAU